CAGAAUUUCACAUUGCUGCUCUAACACUACAGUCAGCUAAUUCUACAUGCAUUCAAGUCUCUUUCCUGGGCAUCUUCCUUGUCUGUUUAUAAGCAAUAUUAGUAGAUCCAAUGAGGUAAUCCAGCUUGGAAGCAGCCUCAGGGACAUAACUAGUCCCAGUGACUGAAGGGCAAGGCAGAGUGCACCUUUCUGCAGGGUGUGAUGUCUGAACUACUGCUGUGGGCGUGACUGCUGGCCAGGUGGGCUGAAGGUUACACACUCCCUACCAUGAAGCAAGGAAUUACUUCAAUUAAAAGGAUGAAACACCAUAGCAAGCUUCUCCAAAACAAGAACACAAAACUGUGGAAACAUGACACAUGCUGUGCAAAAUCCCGGAGGAUUACAUCAAAGGCCAGGUGAAGACACUUGUUACCGGUAAUUUGAGAGCUACACAUCUGAACAAUGGAAACCAGUGCCUGCACUGUAAGAGCACAGUAGUUUCCAUGCUGCAGGUCAUUCCGGUUUUGGAUAUAUUUCUGUCAACACAGCUUGGAAGGGAAGGUAACUGCUGUUGCAUCCUAAAUAAAACAAAAUCAGCAAGGUCUGUUGCUAGUGUCGUCAAGAGUAUUUGUCUGAUUUCUAAAGAGGGACUAAAUAUUCAUCUGAAGAAAAAGUCUAUUGCUUUAAUUCUGGGAACAAAUGCACCAAACUGCUUGAGUUUCAGAUCUUUCUUUGACCUGAGGACAUUACGAGCACCAACAUGGAAAGCGUUACAUGUAUGUGCAGAUAUAAGAAAUAGGAAAGUAAGAAAACUAUAAGCCAUGAAGUCAAAAACUGAAAUGAAUACAAAUGAGGAGAAAGGUGAAAUUUAAAAAAAAAUAAAAAGAAAAAAAAGAUAAAAGAGAAAGAAAAAUUACUUACUAAAUUCUAACUGAAAGCUUUGUCACUGCUAACUUAAAAUAUUCAGAAUCUUCUUUCAUUUAUAAAGAGUUGAUGAAGAAAUAAGCUAAGUUAAAAGUCAGCUUAUUAAAAAAAUUAAAAAUGCGUGAAAUUAGCAACAUUUUUUACAGACGCCUAGUAUCAAGCUUUCUAAAAUUCAGUGGAAUAGUAAUAACAAAGGACUGCUUCUGAAAAGAAUUAUGAACAGAGUAUUUGAUAAUUUAUUCUUAAAAUAAGAGAUGUCUAAUAGUAAAAGAAGAGGAGGAAUAUUGUACUUUGUACUUUCAGUAUGAACUAUUUGCCAAACUGAAUGCUUACAUUGUCUUCAUGUAGAUAAACUGAUUUGUUCAAACAACUAGCCACGUCAUGACUAUUCAAUCAAUACAGCAGCUGCAGAACAGCCAGAAGGUCAUAAUGCAGCACAGGGGACUUGACAAGUUUGUGUGCAGAGGAAGAAAUGAAAUAUGGAUUCAUAUUUCUAUAAAGACACAUACAUAUCAUCUCAAACAUUUCUACAGAAAAAGACCAAAUUCUUCAUAACAGAACCUGGGUGUUAACAGAAUCUGCCUGCGGCUCUCACAGACCUCCCUAACAAAACCAAAUAUAAACGGACACAAAUCCUUAGUAAUUCCCCUCUAAAGUAACGCCUCAUGAUGUUUCUAGUAAGUUGAUGCUGCCACUCAGUGACAAGCCAUUUGCAGUUUUGCAAGCCCAUUUUCUGUUCAAACAGUGCAGUUCACAUACAUACAAUAAUAUUCUACUUCACACAGCAGAGAUGCAGUCAGAAGCCCGAAACAAGGCAGCACACAUUAAUGGCCUUGCCUAAAGCCCAUUGGUUUGUAGUGGGGAUUUGCACCAGUCAAUAAAGACAAUGCAAAACUGGCCCCCAGCAGAUGAAUGUCAGCACAACACAUUGUUGAGCUGGGAAUGCCAGUUUGGGUCUCUGGCUUUGUGUGAUGCUCGCUGGGUGGCAAAAGCCAGCCAUCCUAUACUGCUUUCAAACUAGUAUAGCUUUCUGAACCCAGUCAGCUUUGCCUACCUCAUGAGGGAGCGAUAUUUGCUUUCCUUUGUCUGAAAAGAUCAAAAGGGUCUAAAAAUGUAUCCACGAAACCUCUAUGAAGCCUCUUGGAGAGAGAAAAUGAUGACAAAAAAAAAAGAAAAAACAGGGAAAGGAAACAUUUGCAAUUGUUGGUGAGGUAUGGCUUGUAUUGCAUUACAGAAUUAAAUUUUUUAGGUCAUUUUUUAUAAUAAAAUAGUUUUUGUGGUAGUCACAGGAAAGGUUGAGGUUGAUAUCAUAUGGAAGGAUAAGUAUGGUACAACCAUCCUUCUUGAAUCCGUUUGACAUGGUCUUCUGAAGAGAUUGGAGAGCCUCAGAUCUACAUGUUGAGAACAAGGAAUUGUUCUCUACAAUCUCCUCAAAUUCUUGGUGUAACAAGUACAAUGUUAUUGAGCCUCAAAACUGUCAAGUGAUUUUUCAUUUCUUUUCUAAUCUACAGAUGAACUAUUUCCAAGCAUAUCUAGCAGCACUUUGCAUUAACAACUGAACCUCGUUACAAAUACAGCCAAGUCGUGGAACCUCGACCAAUCUGGUACCUUCUAGACUUUUAAAUGCCACAACAGCACUCACUCAGCCAAGCACAUUCUUGCCACUGUGUUCAAAUGAGUGCUGAGGUCUGCCAAAUCUAGUCCAACCACCAAGUGCUUCACGAGUUC